rnacentral:rRNA from 1 species
GGGUCCGGACACACUGAGGAUUGACAGGCAAAAGAUACAAGUUUUCUUUGUGAGAGCUUGCAUUGUAAAAUAUGCGAGUCCUUUCAUGAUUAUGUGAUAGGUGGUGCAUGGCCGUUCUUAGUUCGUGGAGUGAUCUGUCUGCUUAAUUGCGUUUCACAACGAUUUAAAAUGCUAUGUUUUCUGUGUUUGCUGUUCGGCUUUAGCUCUUACGGGAGUUUUUAACUUUGAACGCAUACGGCGUAGCUUAAAACAAUCGGAAAGCAACGAACGUGACCGCAACCUCUUGUUGCCUUUAUUUUUAAAAGCGUGGAAAAUUUUAUAUUUUCCUACGCUUGAAAAAGGCUUUAAAACUAGAGGGACCGCUGUUCUAUUCUCUUAAACCAGAGGAAGAUUGCGGCAAUAACAGGUCUGUGAUGCCCUCAGAUGUUCCGGGCUGCACACGUGCUACAAUGAUUGUUGCAGUGAGCAUCUAUUUUCAAACGCUACCGUUGCGGAUUUUGUGAGAAGGGGGCUUGUUUUAAAGCUUUCGGGUGGAGAAGCAGGUUCUUUUUUUCACAAUUUAUUCCGCGUUACGUGUCAGCUAAACCUGCUUCGAAAGCAAGUAGGU